rnacentral:lncRNA from 1 species
UCAAGUAGUGAUGAAGAUGAUGACAGUAGUGAUGAGGAUGAUCAGAAUGACUUUCAAUGGAUAUACGAUGGUCAAACUGAAAUAGAAGAUUCACAAGUAACUGUCAAUCAGGAAAUACCUAAUCCAAGGCGAUCAAGUAGAUCAUCAAAGGGAACGCACAGUAAUCCUCACCAACUACCCAGAUCGUCGAUAAGGUAGCGCAUUGUUGUGAGUUGGAAGUGUGUAUCCUGAAACAAGCGGGGAAGAGCUUGGACCUGUUUAUAUAUAUUCUACCCUUUCCUAUUUCCUAUUUCCUAUUUGCUGAAAUGUUUGUGUUCAAAUUCAAUACCUUAUGUAUUUUGUGGAGUUGAUGAAUAUGGAGUAUUGAAACAACGAAUGUCAACUUUCGGGUAUAUAUAUGUGAGAAGAAGAGAAGAAAAUUACUGUUUUGAUGAUACUUUGCAUAUGUAUGCUUAUUCUAUUGGCAUUUAAAUUUGUAUGUGUAAAUGCAUAAAAAAGAAUAUCGUUUUAUCAGAUGUUUGCAUACAGGUAUUAAUGUUGGAUUACAGAUUAUUUCCAGGUCAUCUGAGUGCAACAAAUUGUAUUAAGAGUGUUUUGGAAUGUAAACUACAUGUAUAUAUAAACAAAACUGGUAUGUGUAUAACAUAUGUAAAACAAUUUAUAAUAAUGUAUAUCAUAUACAAGUAUGUUUGUAAACAGAGAUGAAUUUGAAAUUUACCUGUAAUUCAUUUUAUUCUUUUGUGGGCAAAAGAUUCCCAAGCGGGGAAAAUGUAGGAAAUUGGAUUUAUACGUGUUUUUCUUAUGCAAAUGACUUUGUAUAAUUUGCAUAAAACUGCCGUUUAAAAAUACGGUGAAUGAAAUGUAGUUCCUCGAUUUAUAAGUUUGUUUUGGUAUCUUGAGGAAGAAUUGUUAUAUUGUGAGUCUAUGUAAAAAAGGAAUAAGAUUGCAUAUAAUGUGUAAUAACUUAAUUUUACUUUAUUCAAAAGGUGUUUGUACAAGAAUAGCAAAAAGAGGAAGGAUAUUUUGUUUAUAGAAUUGUGAUAGGUCUUUAUAUGUGGGCGCGGGAAUCUGCCUGACAUAGCAGAUACGUAGGCACACAUUGCAUCUUGCCACGGGCGAAGGAGGUGGUGCGUGUGUCGGGCUGUCUAUUAGUGUGCAACGCCCUUGUUACAUUUUACACCUUUGAACGAAAUGACAUGCUAGCGAGGUUUGCUGGGAGCUGUCUUUAAUAGUGUGGUCUAGCUGGGACUGCAUGUGUUGUCUUUUGGGAGCCGGGAGCUGCUCCGGCUUGUUGCUUCAGAGACCUUGGGUAGGAUAUGAUUUAAUACACACAUUGUUUAAUUGGUAUAAUGUUGUUUAUUAAUGCAUUUUGAAUAUGUACUUUCAUAUAAUAUGUGUUAAUUAAAGACAAUGAUAUUGUCUUAAUUAUUAUAUUAUCAUUGAUGUAGAAUACAUUAAUGCCACAGUUUAUGUAAUGUAAACCAACAGCGUGAUAAUUUACUGUCUGUUUAUCUCGCCCACAUUGUUGUAUACUAUGAAUCAGAUAUAUGUUGAUAAGAAUCUAUACUUGUCUUGUAUUUAUGUUUGGCACAUCUGAUUGAUUUGCAGGGUUUUCUUUAUGCGAUGAUGAUGAUCAACAAAUAAAUGGGCUCAUCACCCAACCUACCAUCAA